rnacentral:rRNA from 1 species
GGAGGAAAAGAAACUAACAAGGAUUCCCCUAGUAACGGCGAGUGAAGCGGGAAGAGCUCAAAUUUGAAAUCUGGUGGACUUCGUUCAUCCGAGUUGUAAUCUAGAGAAGUGUUUUCCGUGCCGGCCAAUGUACAAGUCCCUUGGAACAGGGCGUCAUAGAGGGUGAGAAUCCCGUACUUGACAUUGACCACCGGUGCUCUGUGAUACAUUUUCAAAGAGUCGAGUUGUUUGGGAAUGCAGCUCAAAAUGGGUGGUAAAUUCCAUCUAAAGCUAAAUAUUGGCGAGAGACCGAUAGCGAACAAGUACCGUGAGGGAAAGAUGAAAAGCACUUUGGAAAGAGAGUUAAACAGUAUGUGAAAUUGUUAAAAGGGAAACGAUUGAAGUCAGUCGUGUCUUCUGGACUCAGCCGGUUCUGCCGGUGUACUUCCAGUCGACGGGGUCAACAUCAGUUUCGCUCGGUGGAUAAGGGCUGGAGGAAGGUAGCACCCUCGGGUGAACUUAUAGCCUCCUGUCGCAUACAUCGGGUGGGACUGAGGAACGCAGCAUGCCUUUUGGCCGGGGUUCGCCCACGUACAUGCUUAGGAUGUUGACAUAAUGGCUUUAAACGACCCUCUAAA